rnacentral:rRNA from 1 species
CGCGUAGGCGGUCGCGUGCGUCAGAGGUGAAAUCCCCCGGCUUAACUGGGGACCUGCCUCUGAUACGGCGCGGCUUGAGUCCGGGAGAGGGGAGCAGAAUUCCCAGUGUAGCGGUGAAAUGCGUAGAUAUUGGGAGGAAUACCGGUGGCGAAGGCGGCUCCCUGGACCGGUACUGACGCUGAGGCGCGAAAGCGUGGGUAGCAAACAGGAUUAGAUACCCUGGUAGUCCACGCCGUAAACGAUGGGUGCUUGGUGUCGGGGGUAUCGACCCCUCCGGUGCCGAAGCUAACGCAUUAAGCACCCCGCCUGGGGAGUACGGUCGCAAGGCUGAA